UGGUGUUCAUGAAGGGUGAAGCAGUUAUUCACAUCCCAGAUUCUUAAAGUAAGAAUUGACUCAGGUUCUUCACCUUGAAGAUUUCAUUGGCAAGGAUGGACCCAGGAUAGGAUAGGGUAGGUGGAGGAGAGGAGUAGUUAACGGCUGUCAUAGUUUCAUAAACUUGUUACUUUCUGUCUCCACUCCAAAAUGUUGUUUGUGCAACCAUCUGGACAAGAGCCUCCUAUUACAUAAUAUAUAGAUUUAAUUCUUUGGAUCAUAAUGCUAACUUUAUCUGAAAUUUAUUUUCCUGUUUAGAUGUGACGAAUGUAGACUCUGUUACCACUUUGGCUGCCUUGACCCACCACUGAAGAAGUCUCCUAAACAGACUGGCUAUGGUUGGAUUUGUCAAGAAUGUGACUCCACAUCUUCAAAAGAAGACGAUGAGGAGCUUGAGGAAGAUGAAGGUGAAGAAGAAAAUGUUGUGGAAGAAAACGAAUUCACCCCAGUAAAUGAAUAGGACAAAAAUAAUAUCUCUUACGUCAAAUAGGAAUAGAAGUGGUAAAUGCCUCAUGUUGAAAUCUACCUUUGAAAAUUGUGGGUUGCCUGCUUUGUUCUUCAGUACAGUUUUCAUCAAUCAUCAUUGUGUUAAUCCUUGUCUGUGAACCUAUUAAUAAAUACCUCAAGUGUUUUUAAGAA